rnacentral:rRNA from 1 species
ACGGAAGGCAGCAGUGGGGAAUAUUGGGCAAUGGGCGCAAGCCUGGCCCAGCAAUGCCGCGUGAAGGAAGAAGGCUUUCGGGUUGUAAACUUCUUUUAAGUGGGACGAUAAUGACGGUACCACUUGAAUAAGCUCCGGCUAACUACGUGCCAGCAGCCGCGGUAAUACGUAGGGAGCAAGCGUUAUCCGGAUUUACUGGGUGUAAAGGGCGUGUAGGCGGGACAUCAGGUCAGAUGUGAAAGCACGAGGCUCAACUUCGUGUCUGCAUUUGAAACUGACGUUCUUGAGUGUUGGAGAGGCUAACGGAACUCCUAGUGUAGCGGUGAAAUGCGUAGAUAUUAGGAAGAACACCAGUGGCGAAGGCGGUUAGCUGGACAAUAACUGACGCUGAGGCGCGAAAGCGUGGGUAGCAAACAGGAUUAGAUACCCUGGUA